AGAGUUUGAUCCUGGCUCAGGACGAACGCUGGCGGCGUGCCUAACACAUGCAAGUCGAGCGAGGGACUUCGGUCCCUAGCGGCGGACGGGUGAGUAACACGUGGGUAACCUGCCUCAUAGAGGGGGAUAGCCUCCCGAAAGGGAGAUUAAUACCGCAUAACAUUAUGCUGUCGCAUGGCAGUAUAAUCAAAGGAGUAAUCCGCUAUGAGAUGGACCCGCGGCGCAUUAGCUAGUUGGUGAGGUAACGGCUCACCAAGGCGACGAUGCGUAGCCGACCUGAGAGGGUGAUCGGCCACAUUGGAACUGAGACACGGUCCAGACUCCUACGGGAGGCAGCAGUGGGGAAUAUUGCACAAUGGGCGAAAGCCUGAUGCAGCAACGCCGCGUGAGUGAUGAAGGCCUUCGGGUUGUAAAGCUCUGUCUUUUGGGACGAUAAUGACGGUACCAAAGGAGGAAGCCACGGCUAACUACGUGCCAGCAGCCGCGGUAAUACGUAGGUGGCAAGCGUUGUCCGGAUUUACUGGGCGUAAAGGAUGCGUAGGUGGAUAUUUAAGUGGGAUGUGAAAUACCCGGGCUCAACUUGGGUGCUGCAUUCCAAACUGGAUAUCUAGAGUGCAGGAGAGGAAAGUGGAAUUCCUAGUGUAGCAGUGAAAUGCGUAGAUAUUAGGAGGAACACCAGUGGCGAAGGCGGCUUUCUGGACUGUAACUGACACUGAGGCAUGAAAGCGUGGGGAGCAAACAGGAUUAGAUACCCUGGUAGUCCACGCCGUAAACGAUGGGUACUAGGUGUGGGAGUUGUCAUGACUUCCGUGCCGUCGUUAACACAGUAAGUACCCCGCCUGGGGAGUACGAUCGCAAGAUUAAAACUCAAAGGAAUUGACGG
rnacentral:rRNA from 2 species